GUGAGAGGAAGGCGGGGAAGAACGUCGCCGUCCCGCGCGGGGGGCCCAACAUCUGGAAGGUGGAGGUGUUCGCGCUGGAGGCCUCUGCUAAGUGCUUGGGGUGCACAACCACGGCUCGCGUCUUCUCAGCACCUGCGACGGGUCCUUGCGAGGAGACCGUUCAUUUUGUUGGUAGCCGUUCCCUUCCGUCCGCUCCCGGGGCCAGCCUUCCCCUUUAGGGGCGCGGGGGCAGGGGGGGGGGGGCGGGGGCCCCUUGCGGGGCGCCUCUGCAGAACCCGAGGGCGCGCUCCCUUUGGACCCCGCAAGCCCGGCUGCUCGGGGUCCGGCGCUCUGCGUUCCCAAGACUGGUUUCCUAGAUGGAGUCGGAGGGAGGCGAGCGAGGAGGCGCUGCUGGGUUUUUCUUUUCUUUUCUUUCUUUUUUUUUUUUUUUUGGUUGUUGUCAGGGUGCCCGAGGGCAGGAGGGGGAGGAGGUGGGGCAGAGCGCGCGCGCCAGGGCCCCGGGCGGAGAGGGGCAGCCCCGGCGCCCCGAGGAGCGCGGCGUCCGCGCCCGCAGCGGCCGCCCGAGCCCGAGCCCGAGUCCGAGCCCGAGCCCGAGCCCGAGCCCUAAGGGGCAGGGACGCGGCCGGGGCGAGGAAAUCCGGGGGAGGCGCGCCGAUUGGUGCGCUGGUCGGGGCGUGCGCUCCCGGGCGCCCCGUGAUUGGUGGCGGGAAAGCGGCAGGUAGCCCGGCCCCCCGCCGCCACGCCAUUGGCCGGCGGGCUCUCCGGCUGCCACGCCAUUGGCCGGCGGGCUGCCCGGCUGCCACGCCAUUGGCCGGCGGGCCGCGCAGCCGCGCGCCGAUUGGCCGGGGCCGGCCGCCGAGCCCGGCUCCCUUCGGGCGCCCGGAUUGGCUGGCGGGGAGAGGCAGGUGGUGCUGGUUAGAGUACACACUUUUGGAUCCAAAGUUAAGUUUUCAAAUGUGGAAUCCUAGGCCUUCACUGGUAAGUUUGUUUGAUGCCUUCUUACCAAAUUAUGCUAUUGAGGAUCAGUAUUUGGAAUGA
rnacentral:lncRNA from 12 species